GGUGAGAUGGCCGAGCGGUCUAAGGCGCCAGACUAAGGAUCAGGGCAGUAGCUGUCCAUACCAGAGUGGGAUUCGAACCCACUAAAAUCAUCUGGUCCUCCGGGGCAUGGGUUCGAAUCCCAUUCUCAUCA
rnacentral:tRNA from 1 species